rnacentral:rRNA from 1 species
GAUGAACGCUGGCGGCGUGCCUAAUACAUGCAAGUCGAACGCUGGAGCUCUAGCUUGCUAGCUCGAAGGAGUGGCGAACGGGUGAGUAAUACAUAAGCAACCUACCCACGAAGACUGGGAUAAUCUCUGGAAACGGGGACUAAUACCGGAUAGGUAAUCGGAAGGCAUCUUCUGGUUAUUAAAGGUUAAAAACACUGGUGGAUGGGCUUAUGGCGCAUUAGUUAGUUGGUGAGGUAACGGCCCACCAAGACGAUGAUGCGUAGCCGGCCUGAGAGGGUGAACGGCCACAUUGGGACUGAGACACGGCCCAGACUCCUACGGGAGGCAGCAGUAGGGAAUUUUCGGCAAUGGGGGCAACCCUGACCGAGCAACGCCGCGUGAGUGAAGACGGCCUUCGGGUUGUAAAGCUCUGUUGUAAGGGAAGAACGGUAGAUAGAGAAUAUCUAAGUGACGGUACCUUACCAGAAAGCCACGGCUAACUACGUG